rnacentral:rRNA from 1 species
GACGAACGCUGGCGGCGUGCUUAACACAUGCAAGUCGAACGGAAAGGCCCUGCUUUUGUGGGGUGCUCGAGUGGCGAACGGGUGAGUAACACGUGAGUAACCUGCCCUUGACUUUGGGAUAACUUCAGGAAACUGGGGCUAAUACCGGAUAGGAGCUCCUGCCGCAUGGUGGGGGUUGGAAAGUUUCGGCGGUUGGGGAUGGACUCGCGGCUUAUCAGCUUGUUGGUGGGGUAGUGGCUUACCAAGGCUUUGACGGGUAGCCGGCCUGAGAGGGUGACCGGAGACAGUGGUGAGGAGAUACGGCCCAGACGCAGAGGGGAGGCAGCGGAGGGGAAUAGUGCACGGUGGGCGCAAGCGUGAGGCGGCAGCGCCGGGGGGGGGGUGACGGCCGUGGGGUUGUAACCCGCUUGCGCCUGGGCCAAGGAGUGAGUGAAGGAAAUGAGAAAAGAAGCACCGGGUAACUACGUGCCAGCGGCCGCGGUAAUAGGA